rnacentral:rRNA from 1 species
GUCGGGAGUCUUGCACAAUGGGGGAAACCCUGAUGCAGCGACGUCGCGUGUGGGAUGAAGUAUUUCGGUAUGUAAACCACUUUUGCGGGGGGCGAAAAAAAUGACGGUACCCCGCGAAUAAGCCCCGGCUAACUACGUGCCAGCAGCCGCGGUAAUACGUAGGGGGCGAGCGUUGCUCGGAUUGACUGGGCGUAAAGCGCGCGUAGGCGGUCCAUUAAGUGUGCGGUGAAAUUCGGAGGCUCAACCUCCGUCCCGCCGCGCAAACUGACGGUCUUGAGAUUGGGAGGGGGAUGCGGAAUUCCUGGUGUAGCGGUGAAAUGCAUUGAUAUCAGGAGGAACACCGGCGGCGAAAGCGGCAUCCUGGCUUAUAUCUGACGCUGAGGCGCGAAAGCGUGGGUAGCAAACGGGAUUAGAAACCCGUGUAGUCC